GUGUAAAGCACAAAGUUAUAAUGAUCCACGUUUUACAGAUGAAAAAUCUAUUGAAGUAACAGUGAAAGCUACUUACAACGUUCUUUGUGAUGGCCAAAAGAGAGAAUAAAACAAUGCAAAACAGAAUGGUACAUUAUUUUAAUAACUUUAACAUCUGGAAUUAUCGUUGGAAAUUUUGUCUCUAUUUUAUUUUUUUUGCGUUAUCGUCAACAUUGGUUUAAUAAGAAACGUCAACAAUUUCAAUCUCCAUCUGAAGUUAGGAAAAAUUCUGUUGAUACAACUUAUCAAGAAUUGGAUUUAUCAAAAAUGAAUAAUAAAGAAGAUAAUUAUCAAUCAUUAAGACCAAAGGAUGACACAGUUGAUACAACUUAUGAAGAACUGGACAUAUCGAAUAGGAAUAAAGAAGAUAAUAAUUAUGAAUCUGUGUGAAAAAAUAAUGAAUCGGAGUACGAGAUAGCCGACGAAAGAAGAAAUUAUGAGAAUAGUAAUUUGUUUUGAAGAAAAUCAUAAAUUUAUUCUAAACAUGUGUUUAUAAACAUUUUCCAUGUUGUAAAGUCACAAUGGUGCUUUUACGAACAUUUACAUUUUCUGAUAAGAUUUGAAUUUCGCAACUUUUCCUCCCUUUGGAGCUGCCAAUACUUUAUGAUUUCCAGAAGGAAGCCAUUUUUGGAUGAGAAAAUACACUGGUCAUUCUGUCUCA